rnacentral:rRNA from 1 species
GUGGGGAAUAUUGGACAAUGGGCGAAAGCCUGAUCCAGCCAUGCCGCGUGUGUGAAGAAGGUCUUCGGAUUGUAAAGCACUUUAAGUUGGGAGGAAGGGCAGUAAGUUAAUACCUUGCUGUUUUGACGUUACCGACAGAAUAAGCACCGGCUAACUUCGUGCCAGCAGCCGCGGUAAUACGAAGGGUGCAAGCGUCAAUCGGAAUUACUGGGCGUAAAGCGCGCGUAGGUGGUUUUGUAAGUUGGAGGUGAAAUCCCCGGGCUCAACCUGAGAACUGCCUCCAAAACUGCAUGACUAGAGUACGGUAGAGGGUAGUGGAAUUUCCUGUGUAGCGGUGAAAUGCGUAGAUAUAGGAAGGAACACCAGUGGCGAAGGCGACUACCUGGACUGAUACUGACACUGAGGUGCGAAAGCGUGGGGAGCAAACAGGAUUAGAAACCCGAGUAGUCC